GACGAACGCUGGCGGCGUGCUUAACACAUGCAAGUCGAGCGGUAAGGCCCUUUCGGGGUACGACGAGCGGCGAACGGGUGAGUAACACGUGGGUGACCUGCCCUCAGCUCUGGGAUAAGCCUGGGAAACCGGGUACUAAUACCGGAUAUGACUCCAUGACGCAUGUUGUGGGGUGGAAAGCCUUGUGCGGCUGAGGAUGGGCCCGCGGCCUAUCAGCUUGUUGGUGGGGUGAUGGCCUACCAAGGCGACGACGGGUAGCCGGCCUGAGAGGGCGACCGGCCACACUGGGACUGAGACACGGCCCAGACUCCUACGGGAGGCAGCAGUGGGGAAUCUUGCGCAAUGGGCGAAAGCCUGACGCAGCGACGCCGCGUGAGGGAUGACGGCCUGGUGUAA
rnacentral:rRNA from 1 species